GUGUUGUAUGAAAGCAGAGAAGGUGAUACUUCCCUUGACAAGGAUGGAUGAGGCCCUCCGGCCUGACAACAACCAUAUAUAAAGUCACUACCACCUAGUUUGUGGCAUCUAACCAUCACUUUCU